rnacentral:rRNA from 1 species
AGUCAUAUGCUUGUCUCAAAGAUUAAGCCAUGCAUGUCUCAGUACAAGCCAAAUUAAGGUGAAACCGCGAAAGGCUCAUUAAAUCAGUUAUGGUUCCUUAGAUCGUACCCACACUUACUUGGAUAACUGUGGUAAUUCUAGAGCUAAUACAUGCAAACAGAGCUCCGACCGGAGACGGAAGGAGCGCUUUUAUUAGAUCAAAACCAAUCGGCGGCGGGCUUUGCCCGUCGUCGUUCAACCUGGUGAAUCUGAAUAACUUUGUGCUGAUCGCACGGUCUAGCACCGGCGACGCAUCUUUCAAAUGUCUGCCUUAUCAACUGUCGAUGGUAGGUUCUGCGCCUACCAUGGUUGUAACGGGUAACGGGGAAUCAGGGUUCGAUUCCGGAGAGGGAGCCUGAGAAACGGCUACCACAUCCAAGGAAGGCAGCAGGCGCGCAAAUUACCCACUCCCGGCACGGGGAGGUAGUGACGAAAAAUAACGAUACGGGACUCAUCCGAGGCCCCGUAAUCGGAAUGAGUACACUCUAAAUCCUUUAACGAGGAUCAAUUGGAGGGCAAGUCUGGUGCCAGCAGCCGCGGUAAUUCCAGCUCCAAUAGCGUAU